rnacentral:rRNA from 1 species
UACGUAGGGUGCAAGCAUUAAUCGGAUUUAUUGGGCGUAAAGGGUUCGUAGGCGGUGCGGCAAGUUGGGAGUGAAAUCUCUGGGCUCAACCCAGAGGCUGCUUCCAAAACUGCUGUGCUUGAGUGUGGGAGAGGCGCGUGGAAUUGCAGGUGUAGCGGUGAAAUGCGUAGAUAUCUGCAGGAACACCCGUGGCGAAAGCGGCGCGCUGGACCACAACUGACGCUGAGGAACGAAAGCUAGGGGAGCAAACAGG